rnacentral:rRNA from 1 species
UACAGAGGAGGCAAGCGUUAUUCGGAAUUAUUGGGCGUAAAGGGCGCGUAGGCAGCUUUGCAAGUGACGGGUGAAAUCCCUCGGCUUAACCGAGGAACUGCCUGUCAAACUGCAUGGCUUGAGACCGGGAGAGGUGAGUGGAAUUCCCAGUGUAGCGGUGAAAUGCGUAGAUAUUAGGAGGAACACCAGUGGCGAAGGCGGCUCACUGGACCGGUACUGACGCUGAUGCGCGAAAGCGUGGGAGCAAACAGG